CCCAGCUCGUCAUGCUAGAGCACUUUUUCAAUGUGCUCCCCAACGAGAAGGUGACGGCGCAUUCGUAUGUCAAUCCAUAUCAACUUUCGAUGCCAUUGACUGCGCCUACCAUGGUGACCACCGGUAACGGGGAAUCAGGGUUCGAUUCCGUACGGGGACCCUGACAAACGGCUACCACAUGCAAGGAAGGCAGCAAGCGCGCAAAUGACCCACUCCUGACGCGGGAAGGUAGUGACG